UACAGAGGGUGCAAGCGUUGUUCGGAAUUAUUGGGCGUAAAGGGCUCGUAGGCGGUGUGUCACGUCGGCCGUGAAAACCUGCAGCUUAACUGUGGGCGUGCGGUCGAUACGGGCAUCACUGGAGUUCGGCAGGGGAGACUGGAAUUCCUGGUGUAGCGGUGAAAUGCGCAGAUAUCAGGAGGAACACCGGUGCGAAGGCGGGUCUCUGGGCCGAUACUGACGCUGAGGAGCGAAAGCGUGGGGAGCAAACAGG
rnacentral:rRNA from 1 species